rnacentral:lncRNA from 1 species
UGCGAUUGAGAUGAAGAGGGUCUGGGUUUCUGAUUUUCAGAGGGGUUAGAUUUCUGAAAUUGCGAAGAAGAAACAGAUUUGAGAACAUCAAAACUGAUUCUCACUCAGAUCUAGGGUUUCUCUACCACCAAGCAAGGGAUACUAUGAAGAUUGUGUUUCAGAUCUGGGUUUUAUGGUGUCGGAGAUGUCAUCGGAGAUGGAGAUGCGGCGGCGGACAUGCAUCCCAACUGUUGGUUGCAAGGGUUUGCAGAUCUGGAAUUUUUCCAUUGAUGUUCAUGAAUGCAGACUUCUGGGUUUCUAACUCAUGGGUCUUACAAAUAUGUAUUUGGCUUCCAAAUCUCUAUUUGAUCAACAAUAAAUAAUAAAUUCUCUUGAUUUUCAUUUGUUGAUAAAAGGAUAUGACAGUGGGAUAAUGCUUUUUCUUCACACGGCAGGUUAAAAUCUUGCCAAAUUCAAUGAUGGGUGGGGUAGGAUGCAUAUGCAUCAUGCAAUUGAAUAAGGAAACAGUGGCAUCAUCAGCGUCGUGAAUGGAUAAAGAGACAGCAUACCUUGUUCGAUGAAACAACAAUCGGAGAUUUAACGGAUUUUUUAGGUUUCUUUCUCACCUGGUUCUGUUUUUUGUUUUUUGUUUUAUUUAGGAUUUGAAGGUACUUGUGAAGAAGAAUGAUUUAUUUUUAGAUUAAUUGUUGAUCAUCUUGUGAAGAAGAGUGAUUGAGCUUGCAAAUCUGGGAUUUUUCCAUUGAUUUGGAAUUUAUUUUAUUUUCUACAAGGUGGCGAUGGAAGCUUGCUGGAGAACUUUUUGUUACAUUGGAUUCCAACAUGAACUAGGAAGAAGGUGAAGAUGCUUCUGAAUGAACGAGUAGUGAAGAACAUGAAGAAAGAAGAGGGGUUUCAAUUUCCAUUUUUACCCUUUUAAUUAUCAUCGAAUCCUAACCGUUCAGUUAAAGAAUAUUCUAAGAUUCUUAGAUCUAAUGGUGUUUGACCCCUGGUUCACCGGUGGACCAAAAAAAAAGAUUACCCACCCUAGUGGGCACCUCAAAAACAUCAUGACUUUCAAAAAACAUCAUGAACACACAGCCCUCUUUGUUGUUAUGCUAU